rnacentral:piRNA from 1 species
AGACACUGUAUGAGCUACCUACCCAUU